rnacentral:rRNA from 1 species
AAUUUAAAGUCUAAUCUGGACACUGAUAUAGAUUAAAGGGCUGCAGUAUAUUGACUGUACAAAGGUAGCAUAAUCAAUAGUCUUUUAAUUGAAGACUUGUAUGAAAGAUUUUAUGAAAUAUAAACUGUCUCUAAUUUAUAUUUAGAAAUUAAUUUUUUAGUUAAAAAGCUAAAAUUUAUUUAAAAGACGAGAAGACCCUAUAGAGUUUUAUAUUAUUAUUAUAUAAAAUUAUAUUUAUAAAUAAAAAUUAAAAAUAAUAUUAAUAUUUUGUUGGGGUGAUAGAAAAAUUAAAAUAACUUUUUUUAAAUUUAAAACAUAGAUAAAUGAAAGUUUGAUCCAUAAUUAAUGAUUAAAAGAAAAAAUUACCUUAGGGAUAACAGCGUAAUAUUCUUUUUUAGUACAUAUAAAAAAGAAAGUUUGCGACCUCGAUGUUGGAUUAAGAUAAAAUUUAAAUGCAAAAGUUUAAAAUUUUGAUCUGUUCGAUCAUUAAAAUCUUACAUG